UACGGAGGGGGCUAGCGUUGUUCGGAAUUACUGGGCGUAAAGCGCACGUAGGCGGCUUUGUAAGUUAGAGGUGAAAGCCCAGGGCUUAACCCUGGAAUUGCCUUUAAGACUGCAUCGCUAGAAUCGUGGAGAGGUGAGUGGAAUUCCGAGUGUAGAGGUGAAAUUCGUAGAUAUUCGGAAGAACACCAGUGGCGAAGGCGACUCACUGGCUCAUUACUGACGCUCAGGCGCGAUAGCGUGGGGAUCAAACAGG
rnacentral:rRNA from 1 species